CGUUUAAAUUAUCUCUACUACUGGUAGAACGAUAAAACGAUAGUGUCCACGUUGCCCCUUUGUCUCUGCCGGCGUAACCACGGGCGGGCGAGCCCCCGUCCACCCGACCAGGCAACACGUCGCCCGCCCGCUCGCCGACGCGCCGCCGCCGUCGUGACCCGGCCAUCCUCGACGCCCCGCCCCACUGCGCCACCUCCUCCCCCGCCGCCGUCAUUUCUUUUUCCUCCUCCGGAAGUCGGUGGCGGUUCCUGCGAUGGCUGACCGGCGGGCAGCGGCGGAGGCCGGAAACGAGGCUCUGACGGCGCAAAUCGGCAGAUCAGCGGUGGGCUACCCGAUCUCUCAGGCGGCGUUGCUCCAAACCCGGACAUGCGCCCUGGAGGGCCGGCGCCAGGACCGCUGGGCGCUCUUCUCACCGCCGCAUGUGGGCCAGGUGCGGGGGCGCAUGCGUGGCCCAGCGGCCUGGGCACGCCCGGGGCGUCGCCAGCCGACGGCAGCGCCCCGCCGACCGCUGCGCCCGCCGCCGCAGGGGGAGGGGGCGUCCGGCAGCGUCUGCCCGCACGAGGGCUCAUCGUACAGGAGGAUGGGCACGCGGCCACGCCUUUGAUCCGCUCCCCACCUUGGCCUCCUCGCGAUCUCGCGGAACUAGCGCCGCCACCCCUCCACUCUCCAGCCCCGCCGCAACCACGUCCCCUUCUCGGCCCUUCCAGUAUCUUUUAGGCUACCAGGUCCCCUCCACCUCCGAUCGUACCCGCUCCGCCGCCGCCCGGCUGGCCGCGAGCCCGACCGAGCAGGGAUGGGGUUCAUCAGCGCACACGGCGUGGAGACGCUGAAGCGGUCCAUGUACAGCUGGGUUCGAUGAUUUGUCUCUCCGAGCUGAUCCGGUAAUUCAACAAACUAACCAAAUAACCUUGUCCAGGAUUUUAUAGAAAUAAGGAUCUUUAUAGAGGACAUGGAGUCCUCGAAGAAAAGGAGAAUAAGAGAAGCAGAAGAGGAGAAAUUGAGCUGGAUCAUUUAAUUUGCAACGGAUCUUAUCGGCUUCUUCACAUUAUAUAUAGGUGAUUGAGCAGCGCUUGGGUGCUCAGCCAGACAGCCACUGGCUGCGCGGCAAGCUGUUGCUCGUCUUUUGUCCGAUGCAAGGUUUGUUACAAGUGCGUUCCCUCGUAUUAUUCUUUUGUUUGCAAGUUUACUUCUGUUUCUGGUUAGUAUGCAGCUACUAUGGCGGAUCAGUGAGCUGCUCUUAAAGUUACAAUGGCCUUCCUGGUAGUAGUACGGCUUGAUUAAUUUUUCUAUGGUCGCUUAUGUUAAAUGGUGCAGCUUGCAUGCACUACAACUAUUUGGUGAAAUGCUUGGGAGGAAGAGGUCGACAAGGGUGGAGCCAUACAACAUUGGCAAAGGUGGAUAGCAGGCAAGCGAUGUACCGGUUGCGCUGCUUGUAGCAGGUUAUUUAAGAUGUUCUACUUAACGCGGGAGCAUAAGAGAAAGUUAAAGGAAGAAUAUGGUUAGUGAAAUAAUCAGAUAUGGAUGGAGCAUGUGGUUCUGUUUUUGCACUGGCGAUUGGCUGGAAUUACUAACGCAGGUGUUAUUUAUCUGAUUAUUACUAGGCUGCAUUAUCAUGGUGGAAUGGCUUGCUUAACUCGAUGAAGGGAGGAAAAUGGUUGAGAGAUGGAUGUAAUACUUGGGAGGGAGCAGAGGCGCAUAUCAUGGAAACAGUGGCCACAGCUUACAUGAGGCAGCCACUCUCAUAGCUCUGGUAACAAAGUUGAUAUAUCUCACCAUUGUGCUGAACUGAUCUACCAUCACCCCAUCAAGCAAAUCACGCUCACAUGUCAUCUCUCACGACCUACAUGCUGUUGGCUGCUAUUGAGAUAUUGAUAACUUUGUAGCUAAGAUAAAUCUUCAAGCACGUUUCUACCAUUUCGUUAAAAUGAUUGUUGGAAAUAUGUUAUAUCUAUACCUUAACAGAUGUUAUACUUCUGCAUCUCGAUUAUUUGUUUAGUUGGUCUCAGGCUAGAAGUCACAUUGCUUCAAAUAUUUGGUCAUAUACAUCCACUUGGAUAGCAGAACUUGAGAUUAGUAAAACUCGUUGUGUAUCAGGUUUCAGGGCAGAAUAUUUGAUUGAAUGAGUUCUUGUGUUUAUA